rnacentral:rRNA from 1 species
UACGUAGGGUGCGAGCGUUAAUCGGAAUUACUGGGCGUAAAGCGUGCGCAGGCGGUUAUUUAAGUCAGGUGUGAAAGCCCUGGGCUUAACCUAGGAAUUGCGCUUGAGACUGGAUAGCUUGGAGUGCGGCAGAGGGAGGUGGAAUUCCACGUGUAGCAGUGAAAUGCGUAGAGAUGUGGAGGAACACCGAUGGCGAAGGCAGCCCCCUGGGCUAGUACUGACGCUCAUGCACAAAAGCGUGGGGAGCAAACAGG